GGGAGCAGCGAGCAGCAUGGCAGUCUCUGGCAAAGCGUUGACCACAAGAACCAGCAAGGCCAAAACAAAGCGCUGAAUGGCGGGCGCUGACUUCAGCGUGUCUGCCCCCUCUGAUCCACACAAGGUUGCACUGUGUGUGUUCGGCCUCCGAGAACGAAAGGGGCGGCCACGGCGCACAAUCACCACUAAGCACAUACUUUGCUGCCCCACAAUCCCCCACCAGGCCAGACACAAACCCAGGGGCUGUAUGUUUAUCAAAGCGCCUCAGGAUGCUGCCAUGGAGACAGUGCUCUUAUAUCUGUGGGGCUUCCACCUACUGUAUACCGCCAGAACAACCACACACGCGUUCACACAAACUGCAAAGACGUGGGGCUGUCAAAUAUGCCAGUGGAAGCAGCAAAGCACCGCCAAAGACUGACAGAUGGAUCCACCAAGAUGGGGAGGCAUGUCUCUCCAUCUUCCAUAUGUCCUGGCACUGCUGGAGGAUUAUGGUCAC
ensembl:lncRNA